rfam:Schistosoma rodhaini strain Burundi genome assembly, scaffold: SROB_scaffold0004706
GUACUGCUGAGGAGUCCCAUAAUAGGACGAAAUCGCCGUCCAGUGG